rnacentral:rRNA from 1 species
AGUGAACGCUGGCGGUAGGCCUAACACAUGCAAGUCGAACGGCAGCACAGUAAGAGCUUGCUCUUACGGGUGGCGAGUGGCGGACGGGUGAGGAAUACAUCGGAAUCUACUUUUUCGUGGGGGAUAAUGUAGGGAAACUUACGCUAAUACCGCAUACGACCUACGGGUGAAAGCAGGGGAUCUUCGGACCUUGCGCGAUUGAAUGAGCCGAUGUCGGAUUAGCUAGUUGGCGGGGUAAAGGCCCACCAAGGCGACGAUCCGUAGCUGGUCUGAGAGGAUGAUCAGCCACACUGGAACUGAGACACGGUCCAGACUCCUACGGGAGGCGGCAGUGGGGAAUAUUGGACAAUGGGCGCAAGCCUGAUCCAGCCAUACCGCGUGGGUGAAGAAGGCCUUCGGGUUGUAAAGCCCUUUGUUGGGAAAGAAAAGCAGCAGGUUAAUACCCCGCUGUUCUUACGGUACCCAAAGAAUAAGCACCGGCUAACUUCGUG